UGGAUCCAGACUUUGAUCCUGGCUCAGGAUGAACGCUGGCGGCGUGCCUAAUACAUGCAAGUCGAACGAAACUUCUUUAUCACCGAGUGCUUGCACUCACCGAUGAAGAGUUGAGUGGCGAACGGGUGAGUAACACGUGGGCAACCUGCCCGAAAGAGGGGGAUAACACUUGGAAACAGGUGCUAAUACCGCAUAACCAUGAACACCGCAUGGUGUUCAUGUGAAAGGUGGUUUCGGCUACCGCUUUCGGAUGGGCCCGCGGCGCAUUAGCUAGUUGGUGGGGUAAAGGCUUACCAAGGCAAUGAUGCGUAGCCGAACUGAGAGGUUGAUCGGCCACAUUGGGACUGAGACACGGCCCAAACUCCUACGGGAGGCAGCAGUAGGGAAUCUUCCACAAUGGGUGAAAGCCUGAUGGAGCAACGCCGCGUGGGUGAAGAAGGUCUUCGGAUCGUAAAACCCUGUUGUCAGAGAAGAAAGUGCAUGAGAGUAACUGUUCAUGUUUCGACGGUAUCUGACCAGAAAGCCACGGCUAACUACGUGCCAGCAGCCGCGGUAAUACAUAGGUGGCAAGCGUUAUCCGGAUUUAUUGGGCGUAAAGGGAACGCAGGCGGUCUUUUAAGUCUGAUGUGAAAGCCUUCGGCUUAACCGGAGUAGUGCAUUGGAAACUGGGAGACUUGAGUGCAGAAGAGGAGAGUGGAACUCCAUGUGUAGCGGUGAAAUGCGUAGAUAUAUGGAAGAACACCAGUGGCGAAAGCGGCUCUCUGGUCUGUAACUGACGCUGAGGUUCGAAAGCGUGGGUAGCAAACAGGAUUAGAUACCCUGGUAGUCCACGCCGUAAACGAUGAAUGCUAAGUGUUGGAGGGUUUCCGCCCUUCAGUGCUGCAGUUAACACAAUAAGCAUUCCGCCUGGGGAGUACGACCGCAAGGUUGCAACUCAAAUGAAUUGACGGA
rnacentral:rRNA from 1 species